GUUAGUUUGGGCUAUCUGCAUAAAGAUGAAUUAGUUUGGAAGCCAAAUUUCAUUACUCCUACUACAAAGAUAGGCUCAAUAACAGAUGCAACAAAUUUUAACUAUCAUUUCCGUCGGGAUCACAGAUGGUAUUGACAUGGAAGGCAUCUGUGGCACAGGCCAGUGAAGAGAUGGUUGGCUUCCUCUUCGAGUCAGAGCAAAAGGAUGUGGCAAAAAAGAUCUAAGGAUGCCAUGAGGAAUUCCAUGUGUGCAUGCAGGUCGUGCACCCGGAACACUUUGAAUUAAAGCAGGAAGCCUGAUUCUAAGCCACUAUUGCACUAAGCCCUGGAAAGAAAGAAGUGUGGAAGAAGGGAAGAGGAUGGAAGAAAAACAACCUUUUCUGAGUAAAAAGUUUAGUCUUUCUUCCAGUGUACAGUUUAAAAAUGUGGGCUCAUUGGAAUGAAUUUGAAGGUUAGGUUACAAUUUGCUUACAGCAGAUUUUACGAUUAAACUCAUUGAAUCAGCCUUUUUUUAACCUCUUAAGUGACGUAUACAUGGGAUUAAACAGAAUGAAAUUCAGUUGUUUCUCAACUCACUCUCCUAGCCUCACAUCUGUCAAAAUCAUUGCUGUUUGAUUUUCUUUUCUGCAAAGGCCCCCGAGACACAUUUGCCUUUAAGCGCUUGGGCACUGGUGGGAGCUGCGUGUUCUGGGUGUCUUUAAGUGCACUGGGCUGGGCUAGGCAACGCAGCUCGUGUGUCCCGGGAAAGCUGCAGUCUGCUGAGUGUAAGAUACACACCCAGACCACACCUUCAGAGCCAUGCAAAGCUGGAAGGAGACAGAGAUAAGGUACACUGAAAGGAAGAAAGAAACUCCUCUCUCCAAGCUGCAUCUGCUUGCUCAGGAAAGAGAUGUUUUAUGUGUUGCUACUAAAGGAAAGUGGGAUAUAGAAGAGAACAAGAAGAAAGAGAAGAAAGAAAAGGAAAGAAAAAUCUCUGUGUCAUGCUAGAGCUGCUGCAGCUUCUGAAGAUUCAUUCUUGCAGUCCUAUGGGAAGUCACCAGUUUGUUCUUUCAACAGUGUGCCAAAAGUGGAAAAAGGAAGAGUUUAAGCAACUGUCAACCAGGAAACUUUUUGUUUGUUUAUUUUUAAAAAAGAAGACUUAUCCAGCUAGCCAAGAAAUUUUGUUGAAGUUACAGGCUGUCAUUCUUUAUAAUCGCUCUACUUUCUUUUUCUUUCUGAAUCCUGCAUUUCCAUGGAGGAUGGAUAAUCUUGGGCAUUAUCCUCAUUGGCUCGGCUUAGCUCUGUCCCUUGGGGUCCUGCUGACUCUAUAAACUUUCAACUCCUAAAUCCAAUGCUGGCUCACCCAGGAAAGAAAAAAGCAAACUGAACAAUAAAAUUCAAGCUGUAGCUUCCGUUGUGACUCAAGAAUAGAAAAUGUUAAUGGCCAACAGCAUAUAAAGUGCCACUAAUCACCAAUAAUUUAUUAUUUCCCAGUGGGGUCCCCAAACAAACACCAUCUUGCCCAACUCCAUUACUAUCCAGGAUUGGAAAAGCUUUUCAAAGUUAAUUAUCUGAUUGAAUCUUCACCUAGGGUUGAGCAGUUUGAAAAUUUUUCAUAAAAAUUAAAUAUACCAAAAAGGAGAAAGUAAGUUUCCUUCCUUUCUUUUCUUUCUUAAGUCCCCCUCUUGUCUCUCUUCCUUUCCUUAGCAAGUCUUUGGCUGUGUCAGCUCUUCUAUGCAUGAUUGGUUUGCUGUGACCUAUGGAAAACUCUUACUACUUCAGGAAUUUUAUUUUGCUGGGUUUGGGCUAUAGGAUUUUGUUUUGAGGAAGUCUUAAAAGCUUAUAUUCUAGCCAAAACGUUUUAUUCUUGGAACUGCACAGAUAAAUUAGACCAUUUUGGGAAGGACCUUUGCAGUCACAUUGCCAGGAACAGUUUACAAGUGUAUCCCAAAACAUUAAGUAUUAUUUGGGUGUUCACACAAUAGGUUGAUAGGAUGUUGUUUUUUUCCUCUGCUGUUCUUAAUGCAGUAUAUACGUGGUUGAACGAAUAGUAUAAAUUCAUUUAUUGAUAAUUCUAGGAAUAAAUAGAAUACUUGAUUUGGAGGGCCCUAGUAAGUAUUUAUCAUAACAAACCCACAUUCUUAAUAUCAUACGGAAGAGAGCUUCAUUCUCCUUCAUGUACAAAAGUCGCUUCAAAAGAUUGUAUUGAAGGCCAGUCAUGGUGGCUCACGCCUGUAAUCCUAGCACUUUGGGAGGCUGAGGUGGGUGGAUAGCUUGCGGUCAGGAGUUUGAGACCAGCCUGGCCAACAUAGGAAAACCCUGUCUCUACUAAAAAUACAAAAAUUAGCUGGGUGUGGUGGCAUGCGCCUGUAAUCCCUGCUACUUGGGAGGCUGAGGCAGGAGAGUUACUUGAACCUGAGAAGCAGAGGUUGCAGUGAGCUGUGAUCGUGCCAUUGCACUCCAGCCUGGGUGACAGACUCCAUCCCAAGACAAACAAACAAACAAACAAAAAACAAAAAAACUUGUGUUGAUCAGGAAGAGCCCCAAACUCACUCUCUGGUGGACUUAACUUCUGGAGCUAGCUGCACUGGAGUUUAACUAGAAUAUUUGGAAUCUAAAUAAGAAUUUAAAUAAUUACUCAUUUUCUGUGUUGGAGUAACAAUUUUAAUGGUGCACCACAUUGUAAUUUUAUAUACUGCAUUCGAGUAAGGAAUUAAUGGGGAAGAGAACUGCAUUUGUUAAGAGCUACCUACGUGCCAGGAUCCCAGUAUAUUCUCCUUGCAGCCUUGUAGGGUGGGUAUCAGUAUCCCCCUUUCACAGAUGAAGAAAUAAAGGUCUAGGGGGGUUAGGUGACCCAACCAAUGUCAAAAAUGUAACAGCUAGCAGCCUAGGAAGGUCUAUAUUACUCCAAAUCCAUACUCUUUUCCAUGAUAACCUAUUGCCUUCAAAGGGUGAAAAGGCUAAUUUGAUAUCCACCAUUACUGCCUAUGUAGACAGGUAAAUUUCACUGAGAAUAUUAUCCCUUCCGAUGGUCUGUCAAUGAGAGGUGGGAAAGGCCAUUGCCUUUGGAUAACCUGUCUCUUCAGGAAUUUCUAGGAUGAGCAGAGUGUCUUUUCCUCUUCCUCAUUGUGUUGUCCAAGAGUAAUGGGCAGCUUGGAGGGGCAUUCCAGAAUUUCAGCCAUUCCAGAAAUUCCGGUGAAGAAUUUGAGGUGAGGGAGGAUGAAGCAUGUACUGGCACUGUUGUAUCAGGUAUAGUAACACAAUCUUGAAUCAGCCUGAGCUUUCCUAUGAUCUUCAGUUUGUGAUCUUUCCAUAGGGCCUUGAGAGUUAGACGAUCUCAACCCCAUGAUCAGAACAGGUUCAUGGUUGUGUGGGAGUGGUUCCAACUCCACUAUAAUUGUGAAACAUGCAGGCUCAUAUUCUGGGAUACAUGCUUCUCCAGCUGUCAACACCUUGAUUGUUGAAUGACUAAAAUUACUUUCAUAUUAAAGACUGUUAAUUCUACAAGGAUCUUUCUCCUGAGAAUGAAACGCACUGUGAGUCAUCUCUGAGAAUUUAGGGGGUAGCAGAACCAACAACUUGACCUGAAUAGGGCUAGAUGAUUAACUAGUCAAAGAGAGGUCAAACUUUCUUACUGCAAAUUCACUCAAUCUGAAACAUGAUUAUGGUUUGCCAAAGAGAGUACCCUGAGGCAAAGAAGAUCACACAAGGUUGAAGACUAUUAGAAGAACAGGAUUCCAAAAAGAUAUGCUUCUAGUAAGGCCGACUUUGUGGGAGUGCAAACUUGAGCAGUCACAUACACUCUGUACUUUGUUUAAUGCUGUACUCUUGCUGUCUGGAUUUUUUUUUUUUUUUUUUUGAGAUCGAGUCUUGCUCUGUCGCCCAGGCUGGAGUUCAGUGGCACGAUCUCAGCUCACUGCAACCUCCGCCUCCUGGGUUCAAGUGAUUCUCCUGCCUCAGCCUCCUGAGUAGCUGGGAUUACAGGCACGCUACCACACCCAACUAAUUUUUGUAUUUUUAGUAGAGACGGGGUUUCGCCAUGUUGGCCAGGCUCCUGACUUCAGGGUGAUCCGCCCUCCUUGGCCUCCCAAAGUGCUGGGAUUACAGGCGUGAGCCACCGAGCCCUGCCGCUGUCUGGAAAAUUUUAACACUCUUUGAAUAAGGGGCUAUCACGUUUUCAUGUUGCACUGGCCUGCAAAUUAAGCAGCUGGUCUUAGCUGCUAGUAAAAUGAUGAGAACCAUCAGGGAUAAAUAAGACCAGUGAAACUGCACCCAGACGGUGUCUCAGAACAGACCGUGACAAAACAAGCAUUGGCUAUAAGUAGAACUCACCUCACCUGGUUGGUGAGUUUGUUGCCAGCACUGCAUAGGGCAGAUUUCACAGAAUGGGGAACGACAGGACUACUGGUCAGGGAAGACAGGCAUACUGGGGAAGAGUCCUCAGGGAGUAAAUUAGUAAGGCCCUUUUCCCUCUGGGGUAAUAAAACAGACACAAAGAAGAACUUGCAGGAUUAGACGACUGGGCUAGACUCAAGAAGAGUUAGGACGUACCUGCAAAUUCAGAGUAGGAUAUCCUGAAGUGCAGAAAAUAAAUCUUUAGCUAUUUUUCAUCUUUGUCCCCAAAUAAGUUUCCCAUAGGAAUGCCAUAUUGAUCAAGUUGGAAAGCCCCACACCAGGGACAAAUAUUAUAACAUAGGUUGUAGAAGAUAUUAAAAAUUGGUAAGACUUCACUCUGAGUAUCCUAGAUAAAAAGGGAGUCAGUAAUUACAUACCAAAGAACAUAACUAGGAUAACUCUUCAAUUACUUGAUUUUUUGGGGGUAACUUUUUCAUGUUUAUUAUCAUUAUCUCCAUCUACUUUUCCAUACUAUCUUUAAAAAUGGAAGAACCUGUGUGCUUAUUCUGGGUUAGAACAAGAAAGGGAGGAGGUUGGAGAAUCAUAUUAUACAUUGCAGUCUACCCUGGGGAGAGCCUACCUUGAAGAGAAAAAAAUCAUGGGAUAUAGAGUAGGAGGGGACAGCUUUUUUUUUCUUAAAGCAAGUUAAAUACCUAGGGUGUAUAGGGAGGAAGAAAAGGUCCCUUUGUGACACAGCUGGGGAUGAGCAAGAGG
rnacentral:lncRNA from 1 species